AUUGAACGCUGGCGGCAUGCCUAACACAUGCAAGUCGAACGGCAGCACGGGGGCAACCCUGGUGGCGAGUGGCGGACGGGUGAGGAAUGCAUAGGAAUCUGCCCAGUUGUGGGGGAUAACGUAGGGAAACUUACGCUAAUACCGCAUACGACCCUUAUGCCGGGAGGUUUAGGGUGAAAGAGGGGGACCUUUUGGCCUCUCGCGAUUGGAUGAGCCUAUGUCGGAUUAGCUAGUUGGUGGGGUAAAGGCCCACCAAGGCGACGAUCCGUAGCUGGUCUGAGAGGAUGAUCAGCCACACUGGGACUGAGACACGGCCCAGACUCCUACGGGAGGCAGCAGUGGGGAAUAUUGGACAAUGGGCGCAAGCCUGAUCCAGCAAUGCCGCGUGUGUGAAGAAGGCCUUCGGGUUGUAAAGCACUUUUGUUUGGGAAGAAAACCCAUGAGUUAAUACCUAAUGGGGAUGACGGUACCAAAAGAAUAACCGCACCGGCUAACUUCGUG
rnacentral:rRNA from 1 species